rnacentral:rRNA from 1 species
CAAAUGCGAUUUCCUGAGUAGCGGCGAGCGAAACGGAACAUAGCCCAAACCAAGAGGCUUGCCUCUUGGGGUUGUAGGACAUUCUAUACGGAGUUACAAAGGAACGAGGUAGACGAAGCGACCUGGAAAGGUCCGUCGUAGAGGGUAACAACCCCGUAGUCGAAACUUCGUUCUCUCUUGAAUGUAUCCUGAGUACGGCGGAACACGUGAAAUUCCGUCGGAAUCUGGGAGGACCAUCUCCCAAGGCUAAAUACUCCCUAGUGAUCGAUAGUGAACCAGUACCGUGAGGGAAAGGUGAAAAGCACCCCGGAAGGGGAGUGAAAGAGAUCCUGAAACCGUGUGCCUACAAAUAGUCAGAGCCCGUUAAUGGGUGAUGGCGUGCCUUUUGUAGAAUGAACCGGCGAGUUACGAUCCCGUGCAAGGUUAAGCUGAAGAGGCGGAGCCGCAGCGAAAGCGAGUCUGAAUAGGGCGUUUAGUACGUGGUCGUAGACCCGAAACCAGGUGAUCUACCCAUGUCCAGGGUGAAGUUCAGGUAACACUGAAUGGAGGCCCGAACCCACGCACGUUGAAAAGUGCGGGGAUGAGGUGUGGGUAGCGGAGAAAUUCCAAUCGAACCUGGAGAUAGCUGGUUCUCCCCGAAAUAGCUUUAGGGCUAGCCUUAAGUGUAAGAGUCUUGGAGGUAGAGCACUGAUUGAACUAGGGGUCCUCAUCGGAUUACCGAAUUCAGUCAAACUCCGAAUGCCAAUGACUUAUCCUUAGGAGUCAGACUGCGAGUGAUAAGAUCCGUAGUCAAGAGGGAAACAGCCCAGAUCGCCAGCUAAGGUCCCAAAGUGUGUAUUAAGUGGAAAAGGAUGUGGAGUUGCUUAGACAACUAGGAUGUUGGCUUAGAAGCAGCCACCAUUUAAAGAGUGCGUAAUAGCUCACUAGUCGAGUGACUCUGCGCCGAAAAUGUACCGGGGCUAAAUACACCACCGAAGCUGCGAAUUGAUACCAAUGGUAUCAGUGGUAGGGGAGCGUUCUAAGUGCAGUGAAGUCAGACCGGAAGGACUGGUGGAGCGCUUAGAAGUGAGAAUGCCGGUAUGAGUAGCGAAAGACGGGUGAGAAUCCCGUCCACCGAAUGCCUAAGGUUUCCUGAGGAAGGCUCGUCCGCUCAGGGUUAGUCAGGACCUAAGCCGAGGCCGACAGGCGUAGGCGAUGGACAACAGGUUGAUAUUCCUGUACCACCUCUUUAUCGUUUGAGCAAUGGAGGGACGCAGAAGGAUAGAAGAAGCGUGCGAUUGGUUGUGCACGUCCAAGCAGUUAGGCUGAUAAGUAGGCAAAUCCGCUUAUCGUAAAGGCUGAGCUGUGAUGGGGAAGCUCCUUAUGGAGCGAAGUCUUUGAUUCCCCGCUGCCAAGAAAAGCUUCUAGCGAGAUAAAAGGUGCCUGUACCGCAAACCGACACAGGUAGGCGAGGAGAGAAUCCUAAGGUGUGCGAGAGAACUCUGGUUAAGGAACUCGGCAAAAUGACCCCGUAACUUCGGGAGAAGGGGUGCUUUCUUAACGGAAAGCCGCAGUGAAUAGGCCCAAGCGACUGUUUAGCAAAAACACAGCUCUCUGCGAAGCCGUAAGGCGAAGUAUAGGGGGUGACACCUGCCCGGUGCUGGAAGGUUAAGGAGAGGGGUUAGCGUAAGCGAAGCUCUGAACUGAAGCCCCAGUAAACGGCGGCCGUAACUAUAACGGUCCUAAGGUAGCGAAAUUCCUUGUCGGGUAAGUUCCGACCCGCACGAAAGGUGUAACGAUUUGGGCACUGUCUCAACCAGAGACUCGGUGAAAUUAUAGUACCUGUGAAGAUGCAGGUUACCCGCGACAGGACGGAAAGACCCCGUGGAGCUUUACUGUAGCCUGAUAUUGAAUUUUGGUACAGUUUGUACAGGAUAGGCGGGAGCCAUUGAAACCGGAGCGCUAGCUUCGGUGGAGGCGCUGGUGGGAUACCGCCCUGACUGUAUUGAAAUUCUAACCUACGGGUCUUAUCGACCCGGGAGACAGUGUCAGGUGGGC